rnacentral:rRNA from 1 species
GACGAACGCUGGCGGGGUGCUUUACACAUGCAAGUCAACCGGUGGCGGACGGGUGAGUAAGGCGUAAAUAACGUGCAUCUCACAUAGGGACAACAUAUAGAAAUGAAUGCGAAGAUCUUAUACAGUGAGUGAGCUUUGCGUCCCAUUGGCUAGUGGGGGAGGGAACCGCUCACCACGGCGAUGAUGGGUAGCCGGCCUUAGAGGGUGAACGGGCACAAGGGGACUGAGACACGGCGCUUACUCCUACGGGGGGCAUCAGUGGGGAAUAUGGGACAAUGGACCGGAGUCUGGUCCAACAAUUCUGUGUGCACGAUGAAGUUUUCGGAAUGUAAAGUGCUUUCAGUUGGGAAGCGGGACCAACAGAAGAAGUGACGGCUAAAUACGUGCCAAGCGCCGCGGUAAUAC